AAUUGAACUCUUUGACUUUGGUACUCCACAAAGCAAGACACUGUUCGUAUUCUAGGAUGCAAAAUCUUGACCAGAUUCAUUCAUAGUCAGGUAGAUGGAAGUUAUGCUCAAAAUAUUAAGAAAUUGGUUCCUAGAGUAUGCAUGCUUGCACGUGAGCCUGGGGAGGAAUAUAGCAAGUGCUGUUUGAGGGCAUCAAGUUUGCAAUGCCUUUCAGCCAUGGUGUGGUUUAUGGCAGAUUUUUCACAUGUUCUUGAUGGUUUUGAUGAGG